CUUUAUCCACUGAUCAAUCUUGAACAGUGGGCUGUCAGUUGUUUUUUUUCACUAUGAUAUAAAAGGGAAAAAAAUUCCAUUACUUUCUGUAUGUCUUUAUGGCAGCCAGAUUGAAUAGGGAAAUACAUUC